rfam:Grifola frondosa strain 9006-11 000005F, whole genome shotgun sequence.
GGCCGCCUGGCGAAAUGGCAUCGCGUCUGACUACGACUGUUGCGAUGAAGUGUUGUAAUCAGGAGAUUGCAGGUUCGACCCCUGCGGUGGUCA